rnacentral:misc_RNA from 1 species
UAUAUAUAUAUAUAUAUAUAUACAGGAAGCCCAAAGAGCCUGGAGAGAAUCCUUCUUGAUGGGCCCUAUGAAAGAACAUACCAUUGGGUUAACAUCCCAUCCAACCCAAAACCUAAGGCAAUGAGUUUAUAGGUCUUUCCCACUAAUAUGUUCUUACUCAUCCCAUCUUUUUUUGAAAUGGGAAUCCCACACUCGCAUAUUCUCAACAAUCUCCCCCUUAAGUGUUAAUCUCUCAUACAUUGGGCUUACUAGGCCUGCUCCCCCUCGAACAAAAGCCUCUUUCUUAACCCGAGUAUUACGGCAUCACCAAGGGUCCAAUUACUUUAUCAAACCCACCCGAACAUGCACCUCUAAAAGCCAAGCUAGAGCCAUCACAUGUACCGAGAGUCUCCACUCCAACGAUCUACUCUUCUCCAGAAGAAUGCCUUCAUGCUUCAUUAGGCCUAGCAGGAGUCUCCUAACCCUUUCAUCCACGUGUCAAAGCACCAUGGGAAUCACCAACCACCGUCUUCAUACUCGUCCCUGCUAAACUAUUAGUUCUGAUACCACUUGUUAAAGACUGAGAGAGCCCAAAAAGCCUAGGAGAAUUCAUAUUGAUGGGCUUUGUAAAAGAACAUACUCAUGAGCUUGAUAUCACAUCCAACCCAAAACCUAAAAACAAUGGGUCUACGAGUCCUUACUUACAUAUCUCUAACUCAUCCCAUAUUUUUUCCAAGAUGAGAAUUUCAC